rnacentral:rRNA from 1 species
UACGUAGGGUGCAAGCGUUAAUCGGAAUUACUGGGCGUAAAGCGUGCGCAGGCGGUUUUGUAAGUCUGUCGUGAAAUCCCUCGGCUUAACCGGGGAACUGCGUCUGAUACUGGAUGGCUUGAGUUUGGGAGAGGGAUGCGGAAUUCCAGGUGUAGCGGUGAAAUGCGUAGAGAUCAGCAGGAAUACCCGUGGCGAAGGCGGCCCCCUGGGCCGAACCUGACGCUGAGGCGCGAAGGCUAGGGGAGCGAACGGG